rnacentral:pre_miRNA from 1 species
AGAAAAUUUCAAGAAUGACAUGGCAGAAUAAUCACCCUUAAAUUUUAUCAAGAAAUAUUCAUGAAAUUAAUGUUAACCAAUAAAAUCUCAGCCUGACCGGAAAUCAUGGGGUGGUGGGUGUUAUGUAUCUUUUUUUAUGAAAGAUUAAUAAAUGAGACUGAAAUCUAAAGGUGAUUAUUGUGCCAUGUCAUUCUUGAAUUUUU